rnacentral:lncRNA from 1 species
CUCUUCCUUCCACCACACAGCCUUACUCCUCUUCUCUCCUUUUCUUCCACCACACAGUCUUACUCCUCUCCUCUUCCUUCCACCACACAGCCUUACUCCUCUCCUCUUCUUCCACCACACAGCCUUACUCCUCUCCUCUUCUUCCACCACACAGCCUUACUCCUCUCCUCUUCUUCCACCACACAGCCUUACUCCUCUUCUCUCCUCUUCUUCCACCACACAACCUUACUCCUCUCCUCUUCUUCCAUCACACAGCCUUACUCCUCUUCUCUCCUUUUCUUCCAUCACACAGCCUUACUCCUCUCCUCUUCCUUCCACCACACAGCCUUACUCCUCUCCUCUUCUUCCACCACACAGCCUUACUCCUCUCCUCUUCUUCCACCACACAGCCUCACUCCUCUCCUCUUCCUUCCACCACACAGCCUUACUCCUCUCCUCUUCUUCCACCACACAGCCUCACUCCUCUCCUCUUCCUUCCACCACACAGCCUUACUCCUCUCCUCUUCUUCCACCACACAGCCUUACUCCUCUCCUCUUCUUCCAUCACACAGCCUUACUCCUCUUCUCUCCUUUUCUUCCACCACACAGCCUUACUCCUCUCCUCCUCUUCUUCCACCACACAGUCUUACUCCUCUCCUCUUCUUCCACCACACAACCUUACUCCUCUCCUCUUCUUCCAUCACACAGCCUUACUCCUCUUCUCUCCUUUUCUUCCACCACACAGCCUUACUCCUCUCCUCCUCUUCUUCCACCACACAGUCUUACUCCUCUCCUCUUCUUCCACCACACAGCCUUACUCCUCUUCUUCCCGACUGUUGACCCUGUUCAUUUCCUUGUUCUUCCACUGUCAGAAAUUGUAACACUGUUGUGCUCUGUCUAUGCAUUCUUGCCUGUUGAAGGUUCAUGAAAUGCACCCCUGAGCUAUUUUAGAGAACUGGUGGUUCAUUGGCUGAUCUAAGGCUUUACACAUUCCCUUUCAUAAGUGUAAGUCAAGAUUCACCUAAGAGCAAUUCAACAAUUCAGG